rnacentral:lncRNA from 1 species
AUGGGUUUUCGCUUACCUGGUAUUAGACGAUCAUCAUUUAGUGCAAGCCAAUCUUCUAGAAAAGAAGUGAAAGUUCCAAAAGGCUAUCUUGCAGCGUAUGUUGGAGAGAAAGCGAGGAGGUUCUUGAUUCCAAUAUCAUUCUUAAACGAGCCUUUAUUUCAAGAAUUACUGAGUCAAGCUGAAGAGGAAUUUGGUUACUCUCAUCCAAUGGGUGGUCUAACCAUUCCCUGCAAGGAAGAUGUCUUCUUACAUACAGCAUCUCGCUUAAAUGGUCUACAAUUAACUCAUAUUGAAUAA